rnacentral:rRNA from 1 species
GUACCGGGAACUGCGGCGAGCGAAGCGGGAAGAGCUCAAAUUUAUAAUCUGGCACCUUCGGUGUCCGAGUUGUAAUCUCUAGAAAUGUUUUCCGCGUUGGACCGCACACAAGUCUGUUGGAAUACAGCGGCAUAGUGGUGAGACCCCCGUAUAUGGUGCGGACGCCCAGCGCUUUGUGAUACAUUUUCGAAGAGUCGAGUUGUUUGGGAAUGCAGCUCAAAUUGGGUGGUAAAUUCCAUCUAAAGCUAAAUAUUGGCGAGAGACCGAUAGCGAACAAGUACCGUGAGGGAAAGAUGAAAAGCACUUUGGAAAGAGAGUUAACAGUACGUGAAAUUGUUGGAAGGGAAACGCUUGAAGUCAGACUUGCUUGCCGAGCAAUCGGUUUGCAGGCCAGCAUCAGUUUUCCGGGAUGGAUAAUGGUAGAGAGAAGGUAGCAGUUUCGGCUGUGUUAUAGCUCUCUGCUGGAUACAUCUUGGGGGACUGAGGAACGCAGUGUGCCUUUGGCGGGGGUUUCGACCUCUUCACACUUAGGAUGCUGGUGGAAUGGCUUUAAACGACCCGUCUUGAAACCCGGGAACGA